AAGCCGUAUCGUUGUGAGAAACAUGGAGAGAGUCCAGAAACGUCGCAGGCUUCUUGAUGUUGAUGAAAUUCACCGUAAAGUGGCUUGUCUACCCUUCAAAACAGGAUAUGUACUUAUGCCUUUAUUGCACAGCAUGGAGCGAAAAGACUAAAAAAGGGAUGGCUUGGGUAAGGGCAGUGUGGCAAGAGAAGACAAGGCAAGAGGAAGGGACGGUGCCGGACAGCUGGGUGGACCCAAAGAACAUGUUAUUGUACUGGCCAAAUGUUGCAAAUGCAACAAGAUAUUUGAAGGAACGACGGCCACCAUCUGAUAGUUGGAGAAAGUUUCCACUUGUGAAAGAGAAGAUGAGAUCUGAUUACUUUAAAGAGUGUGACAACUGUGAACUCACAAGUAGUACAGAAGCUGAAGAAGGUUCACUGGAAGCAAAAAGAAGAAAAAUAUCGAAGAAAUUUGAAGACUGCUUGACAGAUCAUAGUUGUGACACUGAUCCACAAUUCGAAGAAGAAGAUAACCUUGGAAAUCGUCAGCUUCCUAACAGUAAUGAAGCAGAGCUAGAACUUCCUGUUGCUCCAAGGAAGGUGUGCAAGCUCUCCAAUGCAAGCUCUACAUCUUCUGUUUCAUCCAGGGGAUCAAGCUCUGGCUCUCCAUUGCCACUUCAAAAAAAGCAGACUUCAACAGCACAGGGUUGGCAAUCCUCUUACUUCCAACCUCAGUCUAAUCUUAGACCAAAAAGGUUUCUUCAGGUCCUUAUUUAAGUCCUAAAUUCAAUUUCAGAAAUAUUUUGUUUGAAAGUGAUUCAGGGCUCCAAACUGCGACUAAAACAGUCGCAUUUGCGACCAUAAAUAUUAAUUUGCGAGUGACGUUUUUGCUGAGGUCGCCACUGGCGACUACCCGCCGAAAGCUCCUCAGGAUUUAACCGCUAAAAAAAGUUUUCUCAGGCGGAUGAUUUGCUUCAUUCUAGCAGCGCCCCGUCUGUGAUAAAACGAACUCGGACCGAAGGUUAAUACACACACCUACACCGAGUGUGGAGCUGCCGCGUGUACCACCGCUUUCAGCCGAGA
ensembl:lncRNA